AUUCACUCUCUGCUGUAAUUUUCGGGAGGAGAUUUGGAAGAUUCUUGCUGUCUUCGUAGUCAAGGUGACCCCAUACUGCCUCUAUAAAUUCAGGUUGGCGUGGUGGCAGAAAUUUGAGGAAGAACAUUGGAAGAAGAACACCAGAAGAAUGAUGGCCUUCCUUUUAAACCACUCCCUAUCAAGAUAGUACAAUUUUGUUGGCCGCCAUGGAAAGCGAGAGUUUCGGGGGCUCAAACUGUUUGAGGUUGUAUAUGGAAUCUUGAAAAAAAAAUGCCCUUACAAACCAGAUUACUAGAUGAGAUGCUGAAAAGGCAGUGUCAAAGUGGCUAAUUGGUGCCAGGGACAGGGGAGGAAACCGUACAGCGAGGGCACAUGGUGGAGAGCAAGAUGGGUAAAAGUCAUUAUCAUUAAAACUGCAAAGUGUUUAGCCAACUUAUAUUUGUG